rfam:Alligator mississippiensis ScZkoYb_172, whole genome shotgun sequence.
GCAUUGGUGGUAUAGUGGUGAGCAUAGCUGCCCUCCAAGCAGUUGACCCAGGUUCAAUUCCCAACCAAUGCA